rnacentral:sRNA from 1 species
GAUUCAAGGGCAUAGGCGUCGGAAUUGUGAUUUCGUGCUUUCAAAUAAAAAAGGCCAGGCAAACACACGUUCUGGGGCUAUCAAGAAAGUUCACACGAAGGACAAAUCCAGCAGGGGGAAAGUGACAUACCUUGCGGGCUCAGGCUUGGGAUUUCUGCAGCCACGCGCGCGUUCACCCGACGGGACCUCGCCUGCACUGCCGCCGGGAGAAGCCUGCUCUAGACUCCGGCUCCAGGGGAGAGGGCUGGGCUCCACAGAGAGGAGCAGCCUCUUCUUCCAGACCAGCUGGUCUUGCUUCUGGAGCAUCUCUUGGAGCAGAAGACUCUGAGCCCCCGAACUCUGCAAAGCCUCCAGAGGACAUACCACCUCCAGGAUCAGGAUGCAGAGGUUCGCCAUCGGUGGUGUGAACUCAUUGUUAAGCACAAGUUCACGAAAGCCUACAAAAGUGUGGAGAGGUUCCUUCAGGAGGAUCAGGCCAUGGGUGUGUACCUCUACGGGGAGCUGAUGGUGAGUGAGGACGCCAGACAGCAGCAGCUCGCCCGUAGGUGCUUCGAGCGGACCAAGGAGCAGAUGGAUAGGUCCUCAGCCCAGGUGGUGGCCGAAAUGUUAUUUUAACGAGGUGAUUCUC